GAUGAACGCUGGCGGCGUGCCUAAUACAUGCAAGUCGCACGAUCCCUUCGGGGAUAGUGGCGCACGGGUGCGUAACGCGUGGGAACCUGCCUUUUGGUUCGGAAUAACUCCUCGAAAGUGGUUCUAAUACCGGCUCCUGUCUACGGACCAAAGAUUUAUCGCCAUUAGAUGGGCCCGCGUAGGAUUAGCUAGUUGGUGGGGUAAAGGCCUACCAAGGCGACGAUCCUUAGCUGGUCUUAGAGGAUGAUCAGCCACACUGGGACUGAGACACGGCCCAGACUCCUACGGGAGGCAGCAGUGGGGAAUAUUGGACAAUGGGCGCAAGCCUGAUCCAGCAAUGCCGCGUGAGUGAUGAAGGCCUUAGGGUUGUAAAGCUCUUUUACCCGGGAUGAUAAUGACAGUACCGGGAGAAUAAGCCCCGGCUAACUCCGUGCCAGCAGCCGCAGUAA
rnacentral:rRNA from 1 species